GGCGACCCCCAUAUCCAAAACCCUAACAUUACCAUUUCUUGCAAAUUGAAGGCUCAAAUCCUAACCAAAACAAAAUCCGAGCUUAGAAUCGUGUUCCUCAUCGCGAGAGGGUCUAGAGGCAAAGAGUCCGGUUCCUCUAGCGGACAAGCCGAGGGGAAAUCACGAGGAAAAGGCGCGCUCUAAAGGCAAAGAGUCCGGUUCCUCUAGCGGACAAGCCGAGGGGAAAUCACGAGGAAAAGGCGCGCUCUAAAGGUACCAAGAAAAAGGAUGAAGAUCAAGCAAAUGAAUCGAACCGAACACACACAUUUUAAGAACGCUUCCGCAUCCAAACUUUGUGUUAAAAACUAUGUAAAUUAAUGGUAGUUACUGUCUUGUAUGUGGUUUGUAACAACAAUACACGAAGGUUAUGUUAAUUUUGGGUUAAACUAUGAAAGUUUUUGUAAAGUCGUCAUUUUGGCGUUAAAUGCAAGGUUUUUAGGUUAUUAAAUUUGGUAAAAUAAGCU